CAAAUGCUCACAGAGGAAAAGAAAGAAUACCGCAUGUUUGUCAGGACUUACUGAACCAACGUGAGGCAGAAGGUGUCAGUUUCCUGCAUCCCAUAAUUACUGGUUAUGAGACAUGGUGUCACCACUAUAAGCCAACGUCAAAAUGUCCAUAGAGGGGCUACGUGUGAAUUCCCUGUUGAAGAAGAAGUUCAAGACAACACCCUCAACGGGCGAAUGUCCAUGGAAACAGAUAGGAGCCAUUACUUUUGGAGCAACAUACUUUAGAGCAAGGAUGAGAUUCACAGCUUCCCAAAAGGUACAACAUUUCUCCCACAAGAGAGAACUGUGAGCCAACUGAACAUGACACUGCACUCAAAGCUACAUGCCAAGUGAACAAAGCAAGAGGGUUAUUUCACAUUCUCCCUGCAACAUUUCUGGUUUACACUGCAGUACAGCAUUUAGCUAUUUUGCAAUAUGUCACUGUUGAUCCAUGCUAAUUUUGUUUUAGACAACAAAUGUUAGAUUCUAUUCUAAAGAAACAGUAUUUAAUCAACUGCUUAUUUUCACCUUGAUCCAUGCUAGUACAGUUGGUUGUAAAGAUAGAGUUAUGAACCUUUUCUUACAUUGCCUCUUUUUUUCCCCCCAUAAAUUCUCCAAUAGGUCAAGUUUGGAAUUGUACUCCUGUCCUCAGCUGCACUUAUUGUUCCAGUCAAGCCCAAACAGAAUAAACUGGUUUGCAAAUUUA